rnacentral:rRNA from 1 species
AUACGUAGGGGGCUAGCGUUAUCCGGAAUUACUGGGCGUAAAGGGCGCGUAGGCGGCGCUUCAAGUCGUCUGUCAAAUGGAAGGGCUUAACCCUUUUUCGCAGACGAAACUGGAGAGCUUGAGAAGCAGAGAGGCAAACAGAAUUCCUGGUGUAGCGGUGAAAUGCGUAGAUAUCAGGAAGAAUACCAGUGGCGAAGGCGGUUUGCUGGCUGCAUACUGACGCUGAAGCGCGAAAGCCAGGGGAGCGAACGGGAUUAGAUACCCCGGUAGUCCUGGCAGUAAACGAUGUAUGCUGGGUGUGAGACUAGCGAUAGUUUCGUGCCGAAGUUAACGCGAUAAGCAUACCGCCUGGGGAGUACGGUCGCAAGAUUGAAACUCAAAGGAAUUGGCGGGG